rnacentral:rRNA from 1 species
AGAACGAACGCUGGCGGCGUGGAUAAGACAUGCAAGUCGAACGCUGACAUUCAGGUAGCAAUAUUUGGAUGUCGGAGUGGCGCAAGGGUGCGUAACACGUGGGCAAUCUACCGUGAAGCCUGGGAUAACUCGCUGAAAGGCGAGCUAAUACCGGAUGUGAAAAUUGGAUGGCAUCAUUUGAUUUUCAAAGUUGGGGACCGCAAGGCCUGACGCUUUACGAUGAGUCCGCGGCCUAUCAGCUAGUUGGUGAGGUAACGGCUCACCAAGGCUAAGACGGGUAGCUGGUCUGAGAGGACGACCAGUCACACUGGAACUGAGACACGGUCCAGACACCUACGGGUGCAGCAGUCGAGAAUUUUCACAAUGG